AACGGUCUAUACCUGCGGUACCUGCGGAAGGAUCAUUAGAAAUGCGGGGCUGCUGUAAGUGGCCUUCUUUUUUAACUGUGCACCGUUUAAUUUGGGGGUGGAGCGAAAUUCAUUUCAAUCCACCGCCUGCCCGGGUGGCAUCAAUCAUCUCCCCUAGGGGGGCCGAGGAGUGCGCCUAAUUAUUUGACUAAUCUGACUGAUCAUUACAAUGAAAUUGUUAACAUAUAAACAACUUUCAAC
rnacentral:misc_RNA from 1 species